CUGUAAUCUGUUUCAGAGCAGAACCUGCCUGAAUCACAAUGCCACUUCCGACCAGAUAGCAGCACUAUCAACAUGGUCUUCACAGUGAGGCAAAUGCAGGAAAAAUGCCUUGAGCAGAACCUGAGUCUCUACAUUGUCUUCAUAGACCUGACAAAGGCGUUCCACACAGUGAACAGGGACGCAUUGUGGGUGAUCCUCAGCAAGCUCGGUUGCCCAGCAAAAUUCAUCAAACUGAUCCAGCUCUUUCAUGUCGACAUGACAGGGGAAGUGCUAUCUGGUGGAGAGACUUCUGAUUGCUUCAACAUCUCCAAUGGCGUGAAACAAGGCUGUGUCCUCGCUCCGGUACUAUUCAACUUAUUUUUCACCCAAGUAUUACGACAUGCUGUGUUGGAUCUAGACUUGGGCAUCUACAUCAAAUACCGACUGGAUGGCUCACUUCGCCGCCUGACUGCAAAAACAAAGACAACAGAGAGACUCAUCCUGGAAGCUCUCUUCGCAGAUGACUGUGCUCUCAUGGCCCACCAAGAAAAUCAUCUCCAAACCAUUGUGGACAGGUUCUCCACCGCAACAAAACUGUUUGGCCUGACUAUCAGCCUCAGCAAAACAGAGGUGCUGUUCCAACCUGCACCAGGGAGGCCAACGAACCAGCCGUGCAUUACAAUCGACAGCACGCAGCUUUCCAACAUCAACCCUUUCAAGUACCUGGGCAGCACCAUCGCCAACGACGGGUCCCUAGACCAUGAGAUCAAUGCCAGGAUCCAAAAGGCCAGCCAGGCACUGGGGCGGCUGCGCUCCAAAGUCCUCCAACACAGAGGUGUAAGCACUGCGAUGAAGCUCAAAGUGUACAACGCAGUGGUCCUCAGCUCGCUCCUGUACGGUUGUGAGACAUGGACACUGUACCGGAAGCCCAUGAAACAGCUGGAGCAAUUCCACCAACGCUCUCUUCAGUCAAUCAUGAGGAUCCGAUGGCAGGACCGAAUCACCAAUCAGGAAGUCCUCGACAGAGCCAACUCCACCAGCAUCGAAGUCGUGG
rnacentral:lncRNA from 1 species